UACGAAGGGGGCUAGCGUUGCUCGGAAUUACUGGGCGUAAAGCGCACGUAGGCGGCGAUUCAAGUCAGAGGUGAAAGCCCGGGGCUCAACUCCGGAACUGCCUUUGAAACUAGAUUGCUAGAAUCUUGGAGAGGCGAGUGGAAUUCCGAGUGUAGAGGUGAAAUUCGUAGAUAUUCGGAAGAACACCAGUGGCGAAGGCGACUCGCUGGACAAGUAUUGACGCUGAGGUGCGAAAGCGUGGGGAGCAAAAGGG
rnacentral:rRNA from 1 species